GAUAAUUGUGAAAUGGCACUAUGGAGUGAUGCAUCGUUAUCGCAUUGACACACUAGAAAAUGCAAAUAAAGAACUGUAACUUUAUCUCAACUUGAUGGAAUCAUGGUGUUUCACUAGAAAUUGAUGAAUGCCAUUUCGCCUGUCUCCACGAUGCGGUGUUGCUCAAUUUGACAUACUAUUUCACUAAAAGUGCCAUAACUUCUCACUUGGAUAUUAGAUUUGGGUGAAAUUUGUAUCAUUGGAAAGCUAAUUAAAUUUCCUAUGACUUGACAAUUCUUAAGCUAGAAAAUUAUGAGUAGAUAAAAAUUUAAGCUCAUUUGAAGUUGACUAAAGAAAUAUCCUUAUUAAAAACUCAAUCGAUAUGGGAUAUUUUGAUAUGUCUCAUAGCUGGGAGUUAUUUGAGACCUUGAUAUACCUUAAAUAACUCAUAAAACUACCAAAGAACCAUAAGGUACUACACGUGAGCUCAAAACAUGACUUUUGCAUUAGUUUGGAUUGUUGAGGCAUCACAACAUACCAGUCGGGACCCAACAGAUGGUAAACUAUGCCUGAGAGAGGUAAAUCCAAGACAAAACUCUGGUGGAGGCCUACAAUGAUACUGACAUGCAAAUCAAUCAUCUAACUUUGGUAUAGGGGUUAAAGACUAAUCGAACCAUCUAGUAGCUGGUUCUCUCGAAAGUUUCCCUCAGUAUAGCUAGAGCUCGUAUGUGACUUCUAUCGAGUAAAGCCAAUAAUUAAAGUCCACAAGGGUGAAACACCCUUAACCUAUUCUCAAACUUUUAAUAGGUAUGAUAAUGCGGCUACUUUAUAUAGCUAUUCCACAAAAUCAAGAGCUCCAAGUGGGCUAUUUUUUGUAAGCAAAACUGGCAAUGCAAGAUGAAUCGAAAGAUGCGUUAUGGUUCUAAACUACAUAGUAAUCUACAUCCCAUAGAGAGUGUUGGUCGAUUAAGAUAGAAAGCAUGUGGUCAUGGAAAUCAAAACCUUCUAAGGAGUGUGUAACAACUCACCUAUUGAAUCAACAAGCCUCAAAAAUGGAUGACGCUUAAUUGUGCGACCUAUACCUGACCAUCGAGGCUAGUGCCAAGCCCCGAUGAGUAGGAGGGCAUGAAAGUCACUCUAAAAGCUUAGGAGUGAGCCUGGGCGGAUCGAUUAUCGUUCCAUAUCUUGGUGGUAGUAGCAAAUAUUCAAAUGAGAACUUUGAAUUACGGAGAGGGGAAGGUUCUAUAUGAAUGGCACUUGCACUUGGGUUAGUCGAUCCUAAGGGUUGGGGAUCCUCUAAAAGAUAGCGCGUGCUCCUAAAGGUAAUUGGUUCAAAAUUACUGAACCAAGAUAUGGUACUCGACAGCAAUGUUAGAAAAUAUGGAGAUAUUGGCGAAAGAUUGGGGAAUAGUUAUCUUUUCUAUUUAAUAGCCUGCCCAUCCUUGUAUCAGCUCAGUUGGAGGUAGGGUCCAGUGGCUAGAAAAGCACCACUCAUUGUGUGGUGCCCGGUGUGCUCCCAGCAGCCCUUGAAAAUCUAGAGGACUAAAUACCUUCCAUACCUGAUCGUACUUAUAACCGCAUCAAGUCUCCAAGGUGAACAAUCUCUGGUCGAUGGAAUAAUGUAGGAAUUAGAAGUUGGCAAAUUAGAUCCGUAACUUUAGGAAAAUGAUUGGGUCUAAGGGCUGGGCACGGGAUCCUAGUCUCGAACCAAUCAUCUAUUGAUGGACUGCCCGAGUUUCUCCCACAGUGAGAGUAGGUUAUCGUGUGCUUAUCAUAGAUGUACUGGGAAUGGUUCCUUUGAGGGUCUUCCCCACGCAUUGAACAACCAAUGAAAAACUUCUAUGGACAAGGGGAAUCCAACAAUUCAAUUAAAACAAAUUAUUCCAAUAGUCCUAAUGGAUGUUCACGUAAUGUCAUUUAUGCCCAGUGCUUUGAAUGUCAAAGUGAUGAAAUUCAACCAAGAAUGGGUAAAAGGUGGGAGUCACUAUGACUCUCAUAAGGUAGCCAAAUGCCUCGUUAUCUAAUUAGUGAUGCACAUGAAUGGAUUAAUGAGAUUCCCAUUAUCCUUGUCUACUGUCCAAUGAAACCAUAUCCAAGAAAAUAGGCUUGGCAGAAUCAACAGUGAAAGAAGACCCUAUUGAGCUUGAUUCUAGUCUGACAUUGUGAAAUAACAUGAGAGGUGUAGUAUAAGUAGGAGCCGAAAGUAAAAAGUGAAAUACCACUACUUUUAAUGUUAUUUUACUUAUUCCAUGAAUAAAAGAAGGGCACUAUCCCUCUUUUUGGACCCAAGGCUCGCUCUGCAGACCAAUCUGAGCGGAAGACAUUAUCAGGUGAGGUGUUUGGCUAGGGUGGCAUAUCUUCUAAAUGAUAACAAAUGUAUCAAAAGAUGAUCUCAACUAGAUCAGAAAUCUUUUGUGGAACCGAAGGGUAAAAACUUAUUUAAUUCUGAUUUCCCAUACUAAUAUGAACCGUGAAAGUGCGGCCAAACAAUCUUAUAGGCCUUCGAAAUUCAAAGCUAGAGGUUUCAUAAAAUUACCAUGAGGAUGACUGGCUCGUAGUAGCCAAGCAUUCAUAGCGAUGUUUCUUUUUGAUCCCUUGAUGUCAGCUCUUCCUAUUAUUAUGAAGCAGAAUUCACCAAGUGUUGGAUUAUUCAUCAAACAAUAGAGAAAAUGAGCUAGAUUUAGAACAUUAUGAGACAGGUUAGUUUUACCCUACUGAUGAUAGUGUUGUAAUAAUAAUUCAACCUAGUACAAGAGAAACCAUUGAUUAACACAAUUGGCCAUCGCGCUUCAUUGAAAAGCUAAUGGCACGAAGCUACCAUGUGCUGGAUUAAUACUGAAUGCCUCUAAGUUAGAAUCACGACUAUCAUUAGUUGACAUUAGGACUCUAACAUUUCUCCCAUACAUCUACAUUCAUUAUUUUCAACACUUAGGGACUCUAUCCCAUUUGACCAAUUCAAAACAUUAGGAAUUUGACCCAUUUAACCAAUUCAAUACCAUAUAUGACCACAAGGUCUUCAUUGAAGAAUUUGUUAUUAAAACACUUUAAUAGGAAAAUGCCUUGAUUUAA
rnacentral:rRNA from 1 species